rnacentral:misc_RNA from 1 species
GAUGAAGAACGUAGCGAAAUGCGAUAAGUAAUGCGAAUUGCAGAAUUUCCGUGAGUCAUCGAAUCUUUGAACGCACAUUGCGCCCUCGGGUAUUCCCGAGGGCAUGCCUGUCCGAGCGUCAUUAUCCAACCAUCAAGCUCGGCUUGCGGUUGAGCCCCGCACCGUCCCCGGGACGGUGGGCUCGAAACAUGUUGGGCGCCCGUGAGGUUCUCGGUGCAGCGAGCUCUCGAGCACGUGCCGGGCAACCUCUCUGGGCGUCGGCCAACCCCCCAAUUUCUCAGGUUGACCUCGGAUCAGGUAGGAAUACCCGCUGAACUUAAGCAUAUCAAUAAGCGGAGGA